rnacentral:tRNA from 1 species
CGGGGUGUAGCGCAGUUGGCUAGCGCGCGGCGUUCGGGACGCCGAGGUCGUGGGUUCGAAUCCCGCCACUCCGACCA